UUGCGCAGCUCUAAGUUUUACUGACAGAGUUUCAGUCUCAACUCUUGGGAACUUGUGUCCUGGGUUGAAUAGCUGGUCUCUACUUGGUGGUGCUACUCCAUAAUGAAUGUUGUAGCCUUUCAUCUC
rnacentral:misc_RNA from 1 species